ACUGGCGGCCCCUGUAGUGGACAAUGUGUGAAUCAGGACAACCUGAAAAGAGGUCAACGACAUGUCAAAGACUUCUUUGAGGAGCGUCAUGUAUAUGUUUUCUUCUGGAUACAUUCUUUGGGUGUAAUGUAUUGUUCUAACAUGUCAAAUAAAGUGUUCUAUAUAAAACAAUCCUAACCGUUGGAGCUACCUUAACACCAUGUCGUAGGCUUGUCAUCUGACAUGUAUCAAUCAACCCUUUUGUAAGCAUGGAACUCUGAACCAUCCACCGGAGGGAGAUAAGU